rnacentral:lncRNA from 1 species
GUGUGUUUCUGUGGCCUGUCUGUCAGGAAAACCACAGCAAGCUUCAGAAGUGAGUCACACUGAGAACAAGUUCUGUAAAAUUACACUUUCUGUCAAAGUCCACAUAGUCAAACACACAAGUGUCGUCGUGAAGGAUUCUUGGACAUUCACAUUAUUUAGCUUCAUCAUGACUGAACACCUGCUGUUAGUCAUCCUCAUGUCUCUAAAACCUGAGGUGAGUCUUCAGCAUUUUCCUGGUGAAUACGUUUUCAUGACCUGCACUCUGCCUGGAUCUGCUCAUGAAGAUACGAGAUGUAACCUUUACUUUGGAGAAGAAAGGGAUCCAUUUCAAACAACAACCAUCUUGAAGCAAAGGACCUCAAAGAAUCAGAGGUUCUGCCAGUUUACUGUCACAAUUUCUGAUUUGCUUACCCGUCUCCAUUUUCCUCAAAGAAGCGUCACCAGCUGUGAUUACAGUUUGGGAAGUGAACCAAACUCUUUGUCUCCUCGUAGUGAUGGAUACCGCUUGACUGAUAUUGUGGAAAGAGAAUCAAGCGCUCCCUUCACAAAACCAGUAUUUCCUAUGACCACAGAUUUGAUUGUUGGCAGACCCGGUGCUUCUGCAACUCCUGUGAAACUGGAAUCAGAUAUUGUGGACAAAGAGACACACUCCACACAGACUAUGGCGACAUCUACUAUGACCACAGGUAGGACUGUUAGCAGGCUCCAUGCCUCCACACCUAUAACUCGGACCAAACGAACGUUAGGUCAGAAUGUUGGAUCCAGCAACACUGGUAGUUUCAUCUCUACUUCUAUCACACCAGUGAAACCAACAUCAGUUGGUCAGACACCUCAUAAAUCUAGCACUAAAGCUAGCUUGCUCCAUGUAACCCCAAUUGAUCCACCAACAGCAGAAACAUGGACAUGGAACUUGGUAGUAGUUGCAGCGUGUCUUGGAGGUGUCAUCUUACUGGGCCUAGCACUUCUCUUUACCAAAAGAAGAACUGAAAGAUGUUCUAGCAAAAGGACACAAGCUGAUGCCACUGAUGACUUAAUGUGCAUGAGAGAGCUUAACCAUGGAGGAUCAGUAAUUAAAAAAUGUUUUCUCUGUCAGAUGUAG